rnacentral:rRNA from 1 species
AGUGAACGCUGGCGGUAGGCCUAACACAUGCAAGUCGAACGGCAGCACAGUAAGAGCUUGCUCUUACGGGUGGCGAGUGGCGGACGGGUGAGGAAUACAUCGGAAUCUACUUUUUCGUGGGGGAUAACGUAGGGAAACUUACGCUAAUACCGCAUACGACCUACGGGUGAAAGCAGGGGAUCUUCGGACCUUGCGCGAUUGAAUGAGCCGAUGUCGGAUUAGCUAGUUGGCGGGGUAAAGGCCCACCAAGGCGACGAUCCGUAGCUGGUCUGAGAGGAUGGUCGGCCACACUGGAACUUAGACACGGUCCAGACUCCUACGGGAGGCAGCAGUGGGGAAUAUUGGACAAUGGGCGGAAGCCUGAUCCAGCCAUACCGCGUGGGUGAAGAAGGCCUUCGGGUUGUAAAGCCCUUUUGUUGGGAAAGAAAAGCAGCAGGUUAAUACCCCGCUGUUCUGACGGUACCCAAAGAAUAAGCACCGGCUAACUUCGUG